AGAGUUUGAUCAUGGCUCAGAAUCAACGCUGGCGGCGUGCCUAACACAUGCAAGUCGCACGAGAAAGUGGAGCAAUCCAUGAGUACAGUGGCGCACGGGUGAGUAACACGUGAAUCAUCUACCUUCGAGUGGGGAAUAACUGAGAGAAAUCUUGGCUAAUACCGCAUAAUACCUACGGGUCAAAGCAGCAAUGCGCUUGAAGAGGAGUUCGCGGCAGAUUAGUUAGUUGGCGGGGUAAUGGCCCACCAAGACGAUGAUCGGUAUCCGGCCUGAGAGGGCGCACGGACACACUGGAACUGAAACACGGUCCAGACUCCUACGGGAGGCAGCAGUGGGGAAUUUUGCGCAAUGGGGGAAACCCUGACGCAGCAACGCCGCGUGGAGGAUGAAGUAUCUUGGUACGUAAACUCCUUUCGAUGGGGAAGAUAAUGACGGUACCCAUAGAAGAAGCCCCGGCUAACUUCGUGCCAGCAGCCGCGGUAAUACGAGGGGGGCAAGCGUUGUUCGGAAUUAUUGGGCGUAAAGGGUGCGUAGGCGGUUUGAUAAGUCUGAUGUGAAAUCUCUGGGCUCAACCCAGAGUCUGCAUUAGAAACUGUCGGGCUUGAGUAUGGGAGAGGUGAGUGGAAUUUCCGGUGUAGCGGUGAAAUGCGUAGAUAUCGGAAGGAACACCUGUGGCGAAAGCGGCUCACUGGACCAUAACUGACGCUGAGGCACGAAAGCUAGGGGAGCAAACAGGAUUAGAUACCCUAGUAGUCC
rnacentral:rRNA from 1 species